rnacentral:rRNA from 1 species
UGCGUAGGCGGUGAAUUAAGUUGGAUGUGAAAUCCCCGGGCUUAACUUGGGUGGUGCAUCCAAAACUGGUUGACUAGAGUGCAGGAGAGGGAAGCGGAAUUCCUAGUGUAGCGGUGAAAUGCGUAGAUAUUAGGAGGAACACCAGUGGCGAAGGCGGCUUUCUGGACUGUAACUGACGCUGAGGCACGAAAGCGUGGGGAGCAAACA